ACAGAGCAGGUAAGUAGCAAGAGGCCGAGGGUGAAUUACGAGGAAAACCCUGAAGAUGCAGUUCCUUCUACGUCAGGCCUCAGCUCCUUUACAAACGGAAGCAGGGAAGAGAAGUACAGGGACUCAGCUCCUUCAAAUUCAGGCCUCUGAUUCUUCACAGGCAGGAGACAAUGCCCAAGUAGCCUUUGCGUCUUGCAAGGUUGGUAGUGCCCUAGGUAGCGUCUUGCACCAGGGCCCACUUGUAUCUUGUGGCUGGAUCAUCUCUUGAAACCUAUUUGUACAUAUGUGGUAGCUAGAUGUUCCAUUUGUAAUCUGGAGGGCUGGCAAUUUAGAGUCAUCAGUCAACCUAAUCUGACCUGUGAGUUUUGUUGACACCUUUGGACUCGGACCCUGCAAGAAAACCCACACAGGCCCAAGGAGAACAUGCAAGACCAAAACCUUCUUGCUAUGAGAUGAAAGUGCUAAGCAAUGCUGCGUGAAAUACUUCAGUGCCCCCCUGCAGGAGUAUUAAAAGGAGGACCUUGUCCUGGUCAGACUUGCCAGGAUUUGCAGUAUCCCAUCUGGCCCAGGUAUGCUAUCCCGGGGUUUAGUGGGGAUGUUGUGCGAAGAGGAGCCAAGGAUUGAAAAAAUAGCAAUCCUGCAGGUAAUGUAGGAAAUGCUCCACCAUAGGAGUCACUGCUCCUGACAUGAUGUGGGGGAAAAGGUAAGUAUGAGUGUCUGACUUGCAAAGGAAAUUACCCUCUAUAGCCUGUUAUAUAGAGACAUAGACACUGUGUAAACUACCUUCGAUAAAAUAUACCUGUUUAUCAAUUUACUACGUAACAUUAUUUAUUUAAUCAUUCAACAACUGUUUUAUCCUGUGAACACUGUGUUUCUUGAUUUUCAACUAAGCUCUAUGUGCCCAUACAGAGGUAAGUUAAUAAUUACUAACAACAUUUACAAAAGUGUCCUGCAAAUUUUUGUUUCACUUAUUCAAUGGCUCAGAGAUUAUUUCUCUUACUAACUCUUUUAUACUUUUAUGUAGUUUUUCUUUAGAAGGUGUAGAGGCUUUACCAGACAAAGGUGGAGAUGUGAAGGACGGAGCACUUCCCCUCAUCUGCUGCAUCCAGCAGAGGCAGCUGUUCUCUCCCAGGCUUCUCUGACGACAGAGAAGACGUUUGCUCCGGACCAGAUGAGAAGGAUGGAUGACCACAGGACAAACUGGAAAGCGGUGGUCGCCUGUUUUUCACUAGGCUAAGGCAGGACUCGUUCUGUGUCUUCAGCACUCCUGGAGCAGCUGAGAGUGGACGUCCCAGCACUAGAGCAGAGUCCUGAACCACUCUCAGCAGCCUUUAUCCUUCCAGGCACCAAAUACGGUCUGAAGACCCCUCCUGCCCCGACAACACCCUCUUCAGUUACCAGUCGAGAGGAUGAGGAGCGUCCCGAACGGACCUGCACAGAGGAGGUUGUCACCGUGUGCUUCUUCUGUGCCGGCGGGUUUGGGAAGCUCCUCGCACACACAAAUGCACAGGAAGCUUUCACCACCUCUUGGCUCUGAAAUCAAGACAAUCAAGAAAGAGACAGACAGUUCUAACUGAUUGAGAAAACAAUGAAUUCUAAAAGAUUAAAAGCAUUUAGCUUUGUUACAUUCAAUACAACAUGUUACUGUAGAUGUAUUUACACUUUUUAUGUCCUGAGUACUACAUUACUACAUACUGUCUUGUAAUAAUUCUUAAUAUUGUAAACAAAAUUAUAAUCUUUCAUGUAUAAUUCAGAAAUCUGACACAGUUUGACAUGUAACAUC